rnacentral:lncRNA from 1 species
UGGAGUCCAUUAGGCAAGCGUCCGGGGGUCUUGCAUACCCCUAAACACUUUAUAUUCAGUAGAGUCGCCCAAGUUAGAGUUUGAGUUCCGUGUAGAUUCAAUCUGUCAUUGCAUAGUCACCGUUCAUCAGUUGGUGAUUGUGUGCUAAUUAAUUCAAGAUUUUCUGCAAUUAAGUUGCGUUCUUCCUUACUCUCGAUUGUGUUCUUAAUUUGCAUGCAGGAG